rnacentral:rRNA from 1 species
GGUUAACGCUGGCGGCGUGCCUAACACAUGCAAGUCGAACGGUUCUAAGCGCGAGCUUAGGAUAGUGGCGAACGGGUGAGUAAAAGGUAGGAAUCUACCCCUUGGACGGAGAUAGCUACUGGAAACGGUAGGUAAACUUCGAUAAGCCCGAGAGGGGAAAGUGGUGAGACAGCCGAGGGAUGAGCCUACUCUCCAUCAGGUAGUUGGUGAGAUAAAAGCUUACCAAGCCGAUGACGGAUAACCGGUGUGAGAGCAUGAACGGUCACAAGGGCACUGAGAGACGGGCCCUACUCCUACGGGAGGCAGCAGUGGGGAAUCUUGGACAAUGGGCGAAAGCCUGAUCCAGCGACGCCGCGUGGAGGAAGAAGUCCUUCGGGCGUAAACUCCUGGACUGGGGACGAGUAAGGACGGUACCCCAGUAGAAAGGGACGGCUAAACUACGUGCCAGCAGCCGCGGUAAAAUAGCGUAACU